rnacentral:lncRNA from 10 species
AAAGGGAAUGGAGAGUAAUCACAUCAUUCCAAGACCCUUCCUUUGCAGUCCUGUAGUCACAGCUCCAAAGACUCUGGGUUUUGGAGUAAGAGCUGUAACUGCUCAAGAAGAAUUCGUGAACAAAAGCACAUCUUUCUGAGGAGGCAGAAUAUCACAGGCCUAUGACACCAGACUGCUGGAAGAGGCACUAGAGGUUGACAAUAGAUUCCAACAUCUCAUAAACCAGGAAGCAGCCUCAGGAAGGUUGGCAGCUGCCAAACCCAUAGGCUAAGCAGUGGUGGGACUGUGAUUCAAACUCAGAUAUUUUGGUUCAUCUGCCAGGAAAUUUUUCCUGUCCUGGAAUUAUCUGCUCUUCUCAGGAGGGAAGAGCUCAGUCCUCUUCAUCCUGAAACCCAUCAUAGGAAAGGCAAGAAGGAAAUGCACCAAAAUGUUAACUGUGGUUGACACUGAAGUGGUAAUUUGGUCUUUGUUCUAUUUUUUCUGCAUUGACCAAAAUGUUUACAAAGGACAUACAUUGCUUUUAUGCCAGAGCAAAGUUAUGUUUAAAAACAUUUUAAAAGCCAGAAGGUAAAGUACAUACCCUGGAAAGCAUUGUGUACGUGGCUCCGCUCCUAGUUGUUGACCAAAAUAAGCAGAGCUAAUGAAAUGCCAUGGCAUUUCCCUGUGCCAAGGGAGGCAUUAGGCUGUUCUCAAUGAAUGACUCACGGAGGCAGCGUAUAGAGGCCUCCCUGCUGGCUGCUGGCGGGGCAUCGGCUCUCUCUGGUAGGCAUUGUGCUGCUGUGGCUUCACCCACUGACUGGCACGGAGCAGAGCCCUGCUUCAUCGCCUUUGGUAAUUUCCUCUUAAAGCAUGUGUCUCCAGUGGGCUUUGAAUGGCUCCUCUGUGAUUUCUAAACUCAACCUAACUGAGUAUACAAUUUUAAUUGGAAAAAAAUGGCUUGACGUUGCCUUUCUGUAUUUAUACACCAGCCUCCCACCUAGCAAAAACUAACUGUGUCUAAAAACAAGCCUAACUGUGUCUAAAAGCAAUACUUUUAGUAUUUUAAUGCCUGUUUUGGAGUCUGAGCAGGUUGUACCUUGUUUACAUAUAAGGGGUGAGUGUGUCUGUGUGUGUGCACACAUAUGCGUGUAUGUAUGUGUGCAUGCAUGUGUGAGACAAAGCUAAUCACUUAGGUCCUUCAAUUCUAAAGAGAAUAAUUUGAUAAUCCCCUCAAUCAAAUAGCAUGCAGUCAGUCACUUCCAAAAUAUCUAUUUACUAAAGUUUUCCAAAAACUGUAUAUCCACUGUACCUUAAAGUACUCUGAAUCUUGGACUAUUAUCAUUCUUCUUAAAAGUAGCGGCUGAGGGUGUCUUCAUGUCCACCAUUUCCAUCAAUAUCUCCUCAUUUCUCAGUCUUCUCCGCCUGACAUUAACCACAGCUCUUUGCUUCACAGCUUCCCAUUUCAGGCUGUUCUUGCUCCUUCCCCUACCUCACCCUAACCUGUCCUCCCUCCCACAGUCCCAGAGUAUGUUGGAUCCUCCCUGCCAGCCCCCGACUCAAAGCCAACAUCCUCCUCUCUGGUUUUGAAUCCAUCUCUUAUCAUUUUAUCUCCCCAGGGUCCCUGAUGCAUUAAUCACCUCUCUUGGGCACCACAUCUUUAAUUCUCUAUUUUUUUUUUUACCAGCUUUUCCUGUCAGUUUAUAAGCUUGUUCAGUUCUCACUCAUCUUAAAUUACUGCCCCUUAACUUUACAUGGUCAUCAGGUUCUUGCUUUAUCUCUCUUGUUCCCUUUUCCUCAAGCUUCUCAGAUGAUUAGACUGAACUCACUGUCUCCAUUUUCUCAAGUCACAUUCCGUUCUCCCUGGAAGCAACCUGGCUCCCACAAUCAAACCACUGAGAGGGUUUCUGCAAAGAUUACCGAUGAUGAGACAUCGUCUUCUCUCCUCAAAGUACUGGACAUCUUCCUUGCCGUUGACCCUAAUGACUGCUCAUGCUUUGAGACACUCUACUCGUAUGCCUUCUAACACCCUGUCUUCAGCCUUUCCUUCUUACACUCUGACUGUUCCAUCUCAGCCUGUUCCACUGGCCCUUCUUUCUAGAUAUGCUCCUUAAACAUGGAAGUUUCCAAUGUUUCAUUCUGCAGCAUUUAAUUCUUGAUUCACUUCUCUUUUUAUGCUACUCCUUGGGUGACUUAACCCACUUCUGUUUAUGCUGGUGGCUCCCAAAUAUACUCUAUCCAAGUCAAAGUCCUCCUGUUCUUGAGCUAUAGACUCAUUCCAAGUGCCUUCUUGAUAUCCUAACUUAGUUGCCCACUGGCACCUCAGUCAAUAUGCUCCAAAUCAAACUUAUUAUCUCCUCAACAUCCCAAACUUACAGCUUCUUCUACUAUUCCUCAUGUUAGUUUGAAAACCAUCACUAGAGUGACCAACCAUUCCCAUUUUCCCAGGACUGAAGGGCUUCUGAGGAUGUGGGACUCUCAAUCUUAAAACUGUCACAAUCCAGGCAAAUGGAGAUGGUCUCUCUAGCCACCAUCCACUCAUCAUUGGGCCUAGAACCUUAGUCACCUUUGACUCGGCCCCCUUCAUCCUCUUCUUCCAUCUGCCUGUCCAGCUAAUUUAAUUUCCUAAAUAGUUAUUAAAUUCCCAUUUUUCUUUCCAACCCUCGCUCAUGCUCUGAUCAUCUCUUGCCAGUUUUGCUACCCUAGCCUGCUGAGUAUUCUCUCUACUGUCAGUUUUCAUCCCUUUUCAAUGUAUGCUGUAUUCAACUGCUGAAAGAAUAGUUUUAAAACACCAAUCUCACCCCAUCUCUGCCCUGCUUAAAGCAUUCCAUGGGCAUCCCAUUGCUUGGGAUAAAGCCCAAACAAGUUGAUAUGUCAAAGUCCUCCACGGGUGUCUUAAUCUGUUUUGCAUUGCUAUAAAGGGAUACCCAAAGCUGGGCAGUUUAUAAAGAAAAGAGAUUUAUUUAACUCACCAUUCUGCAGGUUGUACGGGAAAAAUGGCACAAGCAUCUGCUUCUGGUUAAGACCUCAGGAAGAUCCCAGUCAUGGCAAAAGGAAAAGUGGAGCUGGCAUCACAUGGCAAGAGAGGAAGUGGGGGAGGUGCCAAGCUCUUUUAAACAAUUAGCUCUUGUGCGAACUAAAUAGAGUGAGAGACCAAGUGUGAUGGCUCACGCCUGUAACUCCAGCACUUUGGGAGGCUGAGGUGGGCAGAUCACUUGAGGUCAGGAGUUAAAGACCAGCCUGGCCAACAUGGCAAAAUCCUGUGUCUACUAAAAAAAUAUACAAAAAAAAUUACCCAGGCAUGGUGGCACAUGUCUGAAGUCUCAGCUGCUUGCGAGGUUGAGGCAGGAGAAUCAAUUGAACCCAAGAGGUGUAGGCUGCAGUGAGCUGACUUCACACCACUGCACUCCAGCCUGGGUAACAGACCAAGACUCUAUCAUACAUAUAUAUACAUAUGCAUAGAGUGAGAAUUCAGUCAUUGCUGCUGGGAUGGCACAAAGCCCUUCAUGAGAUAUCUGUCCCCACGACCCAUAUACCUCCCACUAGGCCUCACCUCCAACAUUGAGGAUCAAAUUUCAACAUGAGAUUUGGAGGAACAAAUAUCAAACUAUAUCAAUGGUCCACCUAUCCCUGGCCUCACCUGUGUCAUGCAUUGAGCUUUAUGUAGGUAUCUACACAGGCCAGACUGCUUAUCCUCAGCUCUUGCUGUGACCUUUUCCUGGCAUGUCCUAUCUCUAUCUCAUCUCCCUUUGUCACCUGGUAAAUUCCUCAAGAUUCAACUGAGGUUCAAGACUCAACUCCUCCACGUCAUUACCUGCAGGAGGUCUUCUGUGACAUGCCCACUCUGCAGGUGGGUUAGCUGUUACCCAAAUCACCCUCCACAGUGCACUCAGAUGAUCUCCUUACAGGUCAGUCUUUUCCUCUGGGCUGCCAAGUUCACAGGAGUACACACAGCAUUCUCCUUGCCUCUGUGUCCAUAGCAUCUAGGACAAUGCCUGGCAUAAAACAGACCUCAACAAACAUUUGUGGAAUUUAUCUAUCUAUUUGAGGUGCAAACUGAUGGCCAGCAGGUCAAAUCUAGCCCAUAGUCAUGGUUUGUUUGGCCCAAAUGAUGGCUUUUUAUUUUUUUAUAUAUCAAUGUUUAAAAAUCAUGAGAUCUCAUACAAAAAUCCCAAAUUCUAGAUUCUCUUGAGAAAACUAAAUAUCUGGAAACGUUAGAUUCCUAUUUUGUGUGGUAGCUGACCUCAUGAGAGAGCACCUGUUACCAUCUUAGCCCACAUCUCACUGGGAGCCUGCAUCUCUCCUCGACCCUGGUGGGGAACUGCUGGCAGAAUCUUUUGAAUGAGCUUCAUUUGGAAGAGCUUCUAGGCAUUUGUUUUUCCUUAAAUAGUGAACUGAUGGUUUAGAGACCAACUUGGUUGCCCCAGAAUGUUUAGGGUAAACAAGAAACCCACACUGCCCAAAAAAUUCUGGUCUGGUUUUCUGUCUAGAUUUCUAUCUAAUAUCUAAAUUUUCAUGCUGUAAUUCCUAUCCUCAAUUUUUGAAACUCAAAGAAUUUUAUCUUAAAUUUUCUUUCCUACAUUUUCCCUGAAGAGCUCUAAGAGAAGAUGGUAGUGAUAUUAUCAUCUUCAAACUAGCACUUUCCUCACUGCUAUCUCAUUUUCUUCUUACCUCUGUGGCAGUAAGUCACAGGAUCUUGACACGAGAGAUUCAAUUUUAUAAGUAUAUUGAAUUUUUGCCACAGGUAUGAUUGUUUUCACAGUAAACAGACAACAAUCACAUGCACAGAGACAUCUCAAGAGCUUUUUACAUCUUAACUGUUAACAGCUUUAUGAAUUUUAAUGGUUCAGGAAAAGUUUAUUUUUCACCACAGGCCCAGAUGGAAAUCGCUGCCAUCAGGAAUAGCUGAAAUCCCCAGCUGUGAUAAAGGAGCAGAUUUCUAGGCAGAGGAAAUCAGAGUAUGACCUACUGGUGCUGCCAUCUGUUCCCCUAUGUGGACCCAAGAGCUGGGGGGUUCCUGUGGGACCCAGGAACCAUCAGCUGUGGGUUUGUGUUUUAUUGGAUUUAAUUCAGCCAAGCUUCCUGACUUCCAGGCUUCCACAGUCACUCUUGAAUGUUUGGCUCUAUCAGAUACUGCUACUAUAU